rnacentral:tRNA from 1 species
AAUGAAGUGUCUGAUUAAAGAAUUAUUUUGAUAGAAUAAAAAAUGUAAUACAUAUUACCUUCAUUA